AACGAACGCUGGCGGCAUGCCUAACACAUGCAAGUCGAACGAGACCUUCGGGUCUAGUGGCGCACGGGUGCGUAACGCGUGGGAACCUGCCCUUAGGUUCGGAAUAACUCCCCGAAAGGGGUGCUAAUACCGGAUAAUGUCUUCGGACCAAAGAUUUAUCGCCUUUGGAUGGGCUCGCGUUGGAUUAGCUAGUUGGUAGGGUAAAAGCCUACCAAGGCGACGAUCCAUAGCUGGUCUGAGAGGAUGAUCAGCCACACUGGGACUGAGACACGCCCCAGACUCCUACGGGAGGCAGCAGUGGGGAAUAUUGGACAAUGGGCGAAAGCCUGAUCCAGCAAUGCCGCGUGAGUGAUGAAGGCCUUAGGGUUGUAAAGCUCUUUUACCCGGGAUGAUAAUGACAGUACCGGGAGAAUAAGCUCCGGCUAACUCCGUG
rnacentral:rRNA from 1 species